CCUACGGGUGGCAGCAGUGAGGAAUAUUGGUCAAUGGUCGGGAGACUGAACCAGCCAAGCCGCGUGAGGGAUGAAGGUACAGAGUAUCGUAAACCUCUUUUGUCAGGGAACAAAGGCGGGGACGCGUCCCCGGAUGAGUGUACCUGAAGAAAAAGCAUCGGCUAACUCCGUGCCAGCAGCCGGGGUAAUACGGAGGAUGCGAGCUUUAUCCGGAUGUAUUGGGUUAACGGGGUGCCAAGUGGGUCUGCUAAGUCAGCGGUCAAAGCCCGGGGCUCAACCCCGGCCCGCCGUUGAAACUGGCAGUCUGGAGUUGGAGAGAAGUAUGCGGAAUGCGCGGUGUAGCGGUGAAAUGCAUAGAUAUCGCGCAGAACACCGAUUGCGAAGGCAGCAUGCCGGCUCCACACUGACGCUGAGGCACGAAAGCGUGGGUAUCGAACAGGAUUAGAUACCCUUGUAGUC
rnacentral:rRNA from 1 species